UGGGGAAUAUUGGACAAUGGGCGAAAGCCUGAUCCAGCCAUGCCGCGUGUGUGAAGAAGGUCUUCGGAUUGUAAAGCACUUUAAGUUGGGAGGAAGGGCCAUUACCUAAUACGUGAUGGUUUUGACGUUACCGACAGAAUAAGCACCGGCUAACUCUGUGCCAGCAGCCGCGGUAAUACAGAGGGUGCAAGCGUUAAUCGGAAUUACUGGGCGUAAAGCGCGCGUAGGUGGUUUGUUAAGUUGGAUGUGAAAUCCCCGGGCUCAACCUGGGAACUGCAUUCAAAACUGACUGACUAGAGUAUGGUAGAGGGUGGUGGAAUUUCCUGUGUAGCGGUGAAAUGCGUAGAUAUAGGAAGGAACACCAGUGGCGAAGGCGACCACCUGGACUGACACUGACGCUGAGGCGCGAAAGCCAGGGGAGCAAACGGGGAUUAGAUACCCGCGUAGUCCCUGAGCGGGCUGGCAAGGCGCAU
rnacentral:rRNA from 1 species